UUGACGAAACUGGCAAUGUUCAGUAGUCCUGAUCGGGUUCCGACUCGUGAUGGUCUGCGCAUUCAUUGUUGGUACGUGCUGGGACGUUUGGCGAGCCCUUCUGAAGGCUUCAGAGUCACCCAAGCUUCGGCCUGGUAGUGUUUUGUUGUCGGAAGUUGAUGUGCUUGCUAAGCGUAAUGUUGGCCAUGCCUCUGCGCGUUCGGCUGUUGGUUAGCGCUCUGCUUGGUAGUCGGACAUGUCUGGCUGCCUCGUACGUGUGUUGAUCAGUGGUCGCUCGCCUAUGGUCCAAUCCCGGUAUGUGAAAGUCGACCACCUAUCCGACCCGUCUUGAAACACGGACCAAGAAGUCUAGUAUGUACGCGAGUCAUUGGGUAUCAAAACCUAUUGGCGCAAUAAAUGUGAAGGGCGGCUUGUUCGUCUGAUAUGUGAU
rnacentral:rRNA from 1 species